rnacentral:rRNA from 2 species
UCAGUGAAAUUGAACUCGCUGUGAAGAUGCAGUGUACCCGCGGCAAGACGGAAAGACCCCGUGAACCUUUACUAUAGCUUGACACUGAACAUUGAGCCUUGAUGUGUAGGAUAGGUGGGAGGCUUUGAAGUGUGGACGCCAGUCUGCAUGGAGCCGACCUUGAAAUACCACCCUUUAAUGUUUGAUGUUCUAACGUGGACCCGUUACCCGGGUUGCGGACAGUGUCUGGUGGGUAGUUUGACUGGGGCGGUCUCCUCCUAAAGAGUAACGGAGGAGCACGAAGGUUGGCUAAUCCUGGUCGGACAUCAGGAGGUUAGUGCAAUGGCAUAAGCCAGCUUGACUGCGAGCGUGACGGCGCGAGCAGGUGCGAAAGCAGGUCAUAGUGAUCCGGUGGUUCUGAAUGGAAGGGCCAUCGCUCAACGGAUAAAAGGUACUCCGGGGAUAACAGGCUGAUACCGCCCAAGAGUUCAUAUCGACGGCGGUGUUUGGCACCUCGAUGUCGGCUCAUCACAUCCUGGGGCUGAAGUAGGUCCCAAGGGUAUGGCUGUUCGCCAUUUAAAGUGGUACGCGAGCUGGGUUUAGAACGUCGUGAGACAGUUCGGUCCCUAUCUGCCGUGGGCGCUGGAGAACUGAGGGGGGCUGCUCCUAGUACGAGAGGACCGGAGUGGACGCAUCACUGGUGUUCGGGUUGUCAUGCCAAUGGCACUGCCCGGUAGCUAAAUGCGGAAGAGAUAAGUGCUGAAAGCAUCUAAGCACGAAACUUGCCCCGAG